GUUGAUUUACUGAUGGUGCUGUACAUCCAAACCGGGUGAAAUCCUGGCCCCGCGGAACUUGGUUCUUUGUUUACUAAGAGAAGAAGAUUAAAGUGCUGUAAUGAAAGGAUUCUUACCGGUUUCCCAGAGUAAGUGCUUCCUGAGCCAGAGCCACCCUAUGAAAUAAUUAUGAACCAUUUAAUUUUGUCAUACAAGGCUGCAGUGAACAGCACCCAAAGAGCACACAGCAAUCUUGAAAAUGCCCUGGAUAUUAGUGGGUUGUCUGCCUCCAGAAGGAUAUGAGCCCUGUAAGAAGUCAAUCAAAGUUGUAUUAAUUGAAUGAAAAAUCUUCUAUCACUGUCUUGAGAUAAUUUCUGCAGUACUUGGGACAAGCUUAUUUGGGUGUUCUUACAACAAAAAAAGAUAAAUGGGCUGCCUUGAAUUUAUACUCUGUUCUACACACCACACCAAUGGCAAUUUGAAUCAAGAGAGCAGUGUUAUGAAAUACAGCCUGGCAACUUUAGUAUGUUCAAAGGAAUAUUUUACAUAGAGCAGUAACUCAUUGUAACCAAAUAUUUUAUUCACCUUACUGAAAAGACUUCUACCUGUAUUACCUCCACUGUUUAAAUUUAAUAAAAUGGCCAAAUUAAUCUGUCAGCAUCAAGUAACUGGCCUGUCUAG